ACGUGAAUACUCACGUAUUAAACUAACCGUGAACUGUUGUAUCCCCUGGUGUAGAACAUAGGUGAGAAGUUAGGAAAUUUUGGUGCGAGACUGUUACAGUCUCUUCCUUUCUGAUCGUUAUGAGUGCUCGUGCUCAUGCCAUUGCCUACAUACAGAAGACUAAUUGCCGGUGCUUAUUAAGCCUGCGCCAAUGGCUUGCAUUCGGUGGUGAUAUAUUAACCCCUUUUACUAUUUAUUUCUGAUGUGUAUGCUUAUAUGAAUUCCCUUAAUUGGUUGAGUUUUAUAAGUGUCGUAUAUAUUUAAUACGAAACAACUCUUAGCAACGGAUAUCUUGGUUCU
rnacentral:misc_RNA from 1 species